rnacentral:rRNA from 1 species
GCAGGUCAGCAUACUGCCGUGAAUACGUUCCCGGGCCUUGUACACACCGCCCGUCACACCAUGAGAGUUGGGAAUACCCGAAGCCUGUGAGCUAACUUAUAGAGGCAGCAGUCGAAGGUAGAAUCAAUGAUUGGGGUGAAGUCGUAACAAGGUAUC